UAAUUCCUCUCAUUCUUUUGAAAUGCUUUUCUUCUGAUUUGGGAAAUGUUGAGUGUUUAAGUCCUAGUAAUCAUGGUUAAACACUAGUAACAAUAAAAUAUUCAUAUAAGAAACGGACUGAUAAAAUUAUUCUGUUUGCUUAUUCAUAAAUCAUGAAAAAAACUGAUUGACCUUGCUUUACUUGUCAGCUAAGCAGCACAAAUAAUUUCACAUCUAUUUGCUCCAUCUUCAGUUUUGAUCUAUUUUUGUUCAUCAUACCUGUGUAUAUUUGGAACAACAUUUGGAUACGCAGUAGUGCCCAUUUGUGGUUUCCUUUUUCCUAUUUUCCCUUUUGUAUUUUCCUGUGGUCAUUCUCUGCAUUCAUUGCAGCAUACAAUAAUUCUAGACAAGAGACAUGCACAACACGCAAAUGCUUGUUCAGACACAGGCAGAGAAGCAAGAACAUGUUACAGCCCAACCUCCAUUAGUACAUAACUGACAAAUUACGUUGCAUUCACCUAACAUUUCCUCUGCUAUUGUACUGAAUUUUUGCAUGUUAUUUAUGAGCUGCUGCAUUUGACUCCGCAGUGGCUGCAUUUACCUCAAUGAAAAAAUCACAGUUUUGUAAAACUCAUUAGGUUUUGCUCAUAUUUAUGUCACCUUUGCUCAGAGUUUGACAGGCUGUAAAAACCAAGUGAGUUGUAGAGUUAGCCCGAUAUCUGCAAGGUGUAAAGUGUUGCUCUGUCAUGAGAGGUGUCUGUGUAAACACGCAGAGAGCUCUUUGUGGCUGUGCCUGCCGGUUCAUGUAAAGCCACCCGUCCCAGAGAGCCAGCUGGGAAGAAAGCACUAAAGGUGGCUGGGGAGCACAGGGGGGUGAGAAGGAUGAUCUGGUGGGCUGAAUAACGAGGCCAAAGGUGUUGCUGCUUAGGCAUUGUCCCUGCAGGAGGGAACCUCAGCUGCUGCUUUCAACCUGCCUGGCAUAAGGAGGGCACUGGAACGGGGGACAAAGGAUGGGGCUGGGGUUGCAGAGGUGGUGGCAUGGGGACACCCAGGCAGAGGGACAUGGGGACACCAGUGUGCCCUGCCUCUGUCCUGCUCCUGGUGUUGCUCCACUCAGCUGUAAAGUGUUAGUAUGGUACCAAAAUCCCCUGGGUCUUCUCACUCUGUGCAGCCCCCUUACCAUUUCACAUGAGGUAAGAGAUGCAGCACUCCCAGCUAUACCCAAAACUUAUUUCAUAUCACUCCAGUGUUGGUAACCAUAGAAUUUAUAGACUGCCUCUGGAACCCUCAAAGAAGAGUAAGUCCAUUAAAAACUCCCAGGGAAACCAGCACUGAAAGUCACUUGUAGUGUUGACACCGUGCCUGAUUUGUGUCCUUAUCCCUGUAAUCUCAGUAAAGGUCAAAUCAGAGCAUUGAGCAGUUUUUGUUCUGUGGAUCUGCACAUUUUUCACUACUUGGAAUUUAUUAAGGAAAAUAAUACUUAGUAACUUUUGUGAAUCUCUCUCUCUCUCUUUUUUUUUAAAAAUUUUUUUUU
rnacentral:lncRNA from 1 species